AAAGAAACUAMCAAGGAUUCCCYURGUAACGGCGAGUGAAGCGGGAAGAGCACAAAUUUAAAAUCUACCUGGUUUCCAGGUCGAGUUGUAAUUUGAAGAUACGUUUUUGAYGUUCUGGGUUGGACUAAAUCCUUUGGGAUAAGGUAUCAUAGAGGGUGAGAAUCCCGUAUAUACCAACCGUAGGGAUGUUAUUAAAUACGUUUCUAAGAGUCGAGUUGUUUGGGAAUGCAGCUCUAAAUGGGUGGUAAAUUUCACCUAAUGCUAAAUAUAAGCGAGAGACCGAUAGCGAACAAGUACAGUGAUGGAAAGAUGAAAAGAACUUUGAAAAGAGAGUUAAAUAGUACGUGAAAUUGUUGAAAGGGAAACGAUUGAAGUCAGUCAUGCCGGUGGGAAUCAACUUAGGGGAAACUCUGGGUGCACUUCUUCGCUUGGCAGGUCAACGUCGAUUUUGAAUGUCAUAAAAUAAUUGGGGGAAGGUAGCUCCUUCGGGAGUGUUAUAGCCCUUGRUAGAUGUGAUGUUUGGGGUCGAGGAUUGCAACGGAUACCCUUCGGGGCUAGCCGCCUGAUCUCUAAUUGGUGUUGGGUUACGGAUAGCAUGCUGACCGUGAUCUAAUUACUGGUUAAAAGGKUAGARUGUGSAUAAAUUCCUUAAGGA
rnacentral:rRNA from 1 species